AAGGGUCUUACAGAGAGUGGUUGAGGGAACUGGGAUUGUUCAGUCUGAAGCAGAGGAGGCUCAGGGGAGACCUUAUCACUCUCUACAACUUCCUGAAAGAAGGCUGUAGCAAGGAUUCCAAGAUACUUCUGAUCUACCACGGUGAGGGGCAAGCUUAAGCACAGGAACUGAAGACUGUAAAUUAUUUGUGCAAGUAUUGAGCAUCGUUUAAGACUACGCACACGUUUUCCAUAUUGUGCUUGUAGUAGCAGAAAUGUCUCCACAUGGCUUUCUACACCAUUUUGUAAAAAGUGCUUCAGUUUGAAGACAAAUUUUCUUUGGUCCAUUCAUAUUGCCAGGAUGCCCAGGAGAAGAGUGCCAUACAACACGCAACAAUUUAAACUUGGACUCAGAACAAAGCAUUAGCUCUAGGGAUGUGUGUGCUCGAGGGCAGUGUUAAGGAAAAUUCUGAGCUGUACAGUAGUCACCAUCAAAAUUAGACUCAUAAGAGGGGAACUUUAGCUUUUCUACUUGUGGAAUUAGUAACACAGGACCAAAGACUGACUUGGAGCAUUAAAUCUUGUCUCCUAACAUUCAGUACAAACAACACCACUUAACUCCUUUCCAAAACUGUUCUACUUUCAUAUCAAGUCUGUAUUAGGCUCUGGCAGAUCCUGCUUCCACUUCUUUCUAAACGGAUUCAGAAUGGCUCUGAGACCCUAGAUUCCUUCUUAAGAUCAAGUGGAAAGUCCAGCUUUGAAGCUAGACCUUAGAAAAUGCCGAUAUACUGAAACUCCACACAACCGCAACAGAAGACCAUCAAUAUGCCACCUUUUACAAAACCACUUUAUUUAAACUGGUCAUAAGACUCUUAAUUCAUGCUGCUGCAAUAAACAGAAAUGGUAAAGAAGCUAUUCAGGACAGAGCUGAAGACAACGUAGGAAUAGUUUGAAACAAUCUUUUCUUCAAGGCAAGCCACUGGAUCUUCAGUUCAGUGGGUGCUGAAAGCAACCACUAAUCCCCUUCUGCACCUGCCCAUACAACUGUCUCUCAAUAACGUAAGAAUCUCCUGACCGUGAUGUUCUUGUUCCUAAUGCAUUUAAGAAAGUUUAAUAUAAUUUGGUGACUUGUUCCUCGUAUUUCUCUUUGCCCUUUCUGCUUCCACUCUGAAGUAUUAUUGCAUUAGAAAAACUGUGAGAUCUUCACCACAGGAUGAAAUAAGAACAGGAAGAUAAAAUAUUGCUCAUUAAAGAAAAUAUCAGAUGUUUCUGCAGAGAACCUAGCUGAUGUAUUUUUUCCAUCUCAAAUAUUUUUUCCCUGUUUUUUUCUUCUUUUUUAAAGCUCCACUACUCAUACUGUAGGUUUUUUUCUUCUCCUAAGACCACCUUUUUCACAUCUCUGCUUCCUACACCAAACACAACUAAAGCAGUCUGAACACUAACCUAACUGCUGAGGAGCAAGGGGAUCAGCAAGGUGAGAUUUAUCUUGCCUUCUUCAAAGAUUUUCUCUUCUGAAUGUUGCAGCCCAGGGGCACGGCGUGUUUCACAGCCACCCUGUGGACCGUGGUGCCCUCAAAGUAACACUCCUCUGCAUGAUACUUCGAGAAGCUCACCUUUUCAGAUACAAGAAAUUCUUAUUUCAGGUCUUGCUGUUGUCUCAACUAAGUCAUUUCCUAACAAAAUCUUAAUUCUAUUGCCUGAAAAAUAUUUUCAUCCACUUCAACCAAGUGGGAGUUCUUGUGACGCCUCUGAGAAUGCUGAAGAUGCUCUAACUACAAUGUAAUUUCCUUCUUUCAUUACUAAAGAGAUUUUUAAUAAAGAAAACUAUUC
ensembl:lncRNA